CGGCAGUGGUUUCUGAAACAAGUGUAUAUUAUCAGCUUGGAUUCGCAGUCAUGUUUAAUUUAGGUCCGGUAACCGAGCCCUUAGCUAAUUCCUACAAUUUUUAACACCGUUUAAUGAGGUAAAUUUCGAGCGGAUAAGCACUGAACUGGCUAUUUCCUCAGUAUGUCCAACUCUAGAAGCGUUGGUAAACAGUUUUUAAGUUACUUUAUUUAUUUUAUUUUAUUUCCCAUUUAAUGUCAAACCCUUUGUCAUGGACGUAGACCUGUAUCAACUCACUCUAGAUGUAACCCACCCUGGAGAGAGAGGCAAUGUGUGGAUUUCAAGUGUCUUGCCUAAGGACACUACCUAAUGGCUGUGGUAGGGCUCGAACUCUUGACCCUCCGAUUUGAAGCAAACGCGCUGACCACUGCACUAUUCCGGCUUCAGAUACUUCCGGAUCAUUCCUCUGAAACUGAAACUGAAACUGGUUUAUUUGCUUAAACGCCUAUUUCUACAUUUAAAACAUAUUCAAUGGCGUUUUACAAUACAAGUUGAAAUAAAAUAUUAAAUAUAAAAUAUUUUAAAUAAGAUUAAUUAAAACGAAUCAAAAUAGCAAUUAUUAAUUUAAAGUCAAUGAUAAUACUAUAUUUUAAAAUAAUCCUCAAGUAAUAUUACUUACUGUUAGCUUAUGACUGCCAAUUCCUAGUAGAUCUAGAUAAGAUUAGGGAAGAUUUCAAAAUUUUGAAACCGGUUAAUCAUUUGUUUGAAAUCGAAUCAAACUGGUUAAUUAGCAGCGGAAACAGGCUGAUUCAGACCAUGGCUGAUUCGGACCAAAUAUUUUGGCUGAUUCAGACCACAAACUUUGAUUUUAAUAGUCAAUAAUGACCAUAUAUUUAGGAUAGUUCAGCAAUUUUCAGAAAAUAAUGUUGAUUAUAGCUUAUAAAGAAGUUUAACUUUAAGUAAGGACAUAAAAUAUACACCGUAUAAGCAGGUAAAAAGUUUUGACAAACUAUAAUGCAUCAUUUAUGCAUUUAAAUAAGGACUUAAAUUAUUCUUUGCAUCAGACAUUAAACUUAAUGCUCAUAAAUGUUAUUUUUACUCAUGACAUCAGUGUCAGGAAAACUUAAACAAUUUGGGCCGAAUAAGCCAAGUAAAUUUGGUCCGGAUCAGCCAUGGUCCGAGUCAGCUUGUAUUCAUUGGCAGCCAUAUUGAAAAGUACGACUCGUGAUGUUUACUGAUUGGGAGCGAUUAUAGGUUUUGCAAAUUUGAAACCGGUUUGGCAUAGUAAUUGAUCAGAUCCAAUUAACCGAGUAAUUGUCCCUGUCCAAGAUCAGAUUUUUAAGCCCUAGCUUUCACUGAAACUAUUGAAACAGUUUUUCUAAGAUUUCUCAUUAUGCACGACUGCGUUUUUCUCGCCUUCGUAAUAAUGGACUUUCGUUAGCCCGGGAUUCUUGUGAUGCUAUUAAUUGUGUUUACACAUGUACGGAAUAAGCAGUAGUAUUCUCAUGAAUGGCGGUGGGAGGAAAGACAUUUUGUGACGUUUCAACAAAAAAAUGGAUUUAUUUUAAUUCAUGGCAAGGGUAAAGUGAUUAUGAUAUUUUUAUUCUAAGUGUAUACAAGGAAACCUUCUUUGUGUUAAAAUUUACAAGAGUAUGGUGGAUUAGGAUAAUGUUUCACUGAAAGCGUAGUUGGAAUCGGACAGCUGGAGAAAAUGACUGCUGCAUGUGCACUAAAUGGGAAAAUGGGUUGUUUGUUUACACGCCUGGCAAUAUACUGUUGUGAUUUAUUAGUUCAAUGACAGUUUUUGUUGGGUUGUACCUGAAUUUGCCCGAAAAUCUUCAAAUUUAGUGCAAGAAGACUUAGAGAACAGACAUUUUUAAUAUAUUGUCGGAUACAGCUACUGGUGCGUUGGUGCUGUAACUGGUUCAGUGUGAGGAAUUAUUUACACUUUCAGAAUCGAGAAUUCAUUAAGGAGAUGUCAACUAGUGUGUAUGUAUUCAGACUUCACACCUUUAAGGAUGCACUUGUCUGGGAUCAAAAACAGUGUCCAUUGUUACACAGGGUGACACUAGGAGUCAGUAGCCCAGCUCUUAAUAGCUAUACCACUCCAACAUGUGGGAUGCAGAUGAAGAUUUCCAAGAGCCUGUACCUAAUAAUCCUGGGUCAAGAGAAGGUACAGAAGUCAUAGAAGUUGAACCAGUCAUUCGUGAUCCAGGUAAAAUAUUUAGCUAUUAUAAAUGAUAAACGUUCAUAAGGAUGUUCAUUUGGCUGUUGUUCAUUAUCUUGUCAGCUGUUGUUAGUUGUCAACUCAUGUACAAAC